rnacentral:rRNA from 1 species
CCUACGGGGGGCAGCAGUGGGGAAUAUUGGGCAAUGGGCGCAAGCCUGACCCAGCAACGCCGCGUGAAGGAAGAAGGCUUUCGGGUUGUAAACUUCUUUUCUCAGGGACGAAGAAAGUGACGGUACCUGCUGAUUAAGCCACGGCUAACUACGUGCCAGCAGCCGCUGUAAUACGUAGGUGGCAAGCGUUAUCCGGAUUUAUUGGGUUUAAAGGUCGUGUAGGCGGGAGCGCAAGUCAGAUGUGAAAUCUCAGGGCUCAACCCUGAGCCUGCAUUUGAAACUGUGUUUCUUGAGUGCUGGAGAGGCAAUCGGAAUUCCGGGUGUAGCGGUGAAAUGCGUAGAUAUACGGAGGAACACCAGUGGCGAAGGCGGAUUGCUGGACAGUAACUGACGCUGAGGCGCGAAAGCGUGGGGAGCAAACAGGAUUAGAUACCCCAGUAGUC